rnacentral:rRNA from 1 species
CGAAUCUCAAAAAAUAAGUCUCAGUUCAGAUUGCAGGCUGCAACUCGCCUGCAUGAAGAUGGAAUUGCUAGUAAUCGCGGAUCAGAAUGCCGCGGUGAAUACGUUCCCGGGCCUUGUACACACCGCCCGUCACACCAUGAGAGUUGGCAAUACCCAACGUACGUGAUCUAACCCGCAAGGGAGGAAGCGUCCUAAGGUAGGGUCAGCGAUUGGGGUGAAGUCGUAACAAGGUAUC